GGGCGUGUGGUCUAGUGGCAUGAUUCUCGCUUUGGGUUUGCGAGAGGCCCUGGGUUCAAUUCCCAGCUCGCCCC
rnacentral:tRNA from 1 species